rnacentral:ncRNA from 1 species
UUAAUGGCUAUGAAGGUGAAAAGUACACAGAUAAAAAGCAGCAGAGAGAAAGCGCCAUCGGCUGAAAGUGCUUUUUGCAAGGAAUCUGUAGAAGUUCCCACUGGAGCUGGUUUUCUGAACAUUCAUUCAGUAAGAAAAUCCGAUUCAUGCUCGUUACGCAUAAGAGUGCCUGUGAUUGCAGGAAUUUGGGUGGUACCGCGGAAGUCUUCGUCCCUUUU